rnacentral:tRNA from 1 species
GGGGUUGUGGCUCAGUGGUAGAGUGCCCCAUGGGUAAGGCACUGAGUUCGAUCCUCGGCACCCUUA